rnacentral:lncRNA from 1 species
CUCAUUUUAUUUUUUUAAAUUAAUUGUUCUUAUUUUAAAAAUUAUUAUUUUUUAGGGAUGGGAUCUCACUGCAUUGCUCAGGCUGGUCUCAAACUCCUGGGCUCAAGCAAUCUUCCUGCCUUAGCUUCCCAAAGUUCUGGGAUUACAGGCAUGAGCCACCACUCCCAGCCAAAAAAAAAAAUACUCAUUUAAAGCUGCACAAGUUUGAUGGCACAAGUCUGUAUAACUGGACCUGUGCCUUUAUAAAACCUCAAACACUGCAAAGGUUCAUGAAACAAUGUAUAUCUAUUCUUCUUAUUCACUGUCAUCAAUGCUGACCAGGGAAAAUUGCACAGGUGCACGUGUGUGUGUGUGUGUGUAGGGCUAGUGAAGCAGGCAACUACCAGAGAUACAUUAUUAAAAAGCUAACAUUUAUUGGCCAGGCGCGGUGGCUUACGUCUGUAAUCCCAGCACUCUCACGGGUGGUGCCUCCCCGGCAAUGGGGGUCCCAAGAUCCAGGGGGGGAAAAGGGGAUGGCUCUCAGCCACCACAAAAUGGGGGGCCUUUAUGUUCAGGUUUUGCCCAAGAGUCAGCUUAUUUGCUUCUUGUACUAGCAGGGCAGUUGCUGCCAAGGCCUCAAACAGGGGAGCCAUCCUUCAGAAACCCUGUCUAGUUGUUCAGAGACGUAGGCCACCGGCCUCAGCCAGGGCCCCACAGUUUGGGUUAAAAGUCCAGCUGCCAUCUUUUCUCUCUCUAACGCAUACAAUGGAAAAGGCUUUGUCAGAUCGGGUAGCCCCAGGGCUGGGGCUGCCAGAAGUUUUUCCUUUAAGUCAUGAAAGACUUGCUGUUCUUGGAUCCCCAUUCCAAAGGUUCCGGUCCCCGCCCCCUUUGUGACCUCAUACAAAGGCUUGGCUAAUACUGCAAAGUUUGGGAUCCACAGUCUACAAAACCCCACAUCCCCUGAGAAUUCUCUCGCCUGCCUUAGGCACUUAGGCUCCGGGAGAUUGCAAAUAACCUGCUUUCUUUCUGUUCCCGGGCUGCGUUCGGACUCCUGUCAGAUAGUAAAUCCUAAGUGGCGUCGGACCCCUGUCAGAGAGUAAAUCUCAAGUAAGGUACCUGCCAUCGGCAGAUUUGAGCUUUCUUCUUGGACACCUAAUACCCACAGUCCUCCAGGCUCCGGUAGACUGCAAAUGACCUGCUUUCUUUCUGUUCCCGGGCUGCGUUUGGACCCCUGUCGGAUAGUAAAUCCCAAGCUCCGGUAGACUGCAAAUGACCUGCUUUCUUUCUGUUCCCGGGCUGCGUUUGGACCCCUGUCGGACAGUAAAUCCCAAGAAUGGAACAGAUAAGAAGAUACUGAAAUUGGACGGUGCUGCCGUGCGGCUGCCGCAGGACACCUUUAAUAUCCCUGUUUCUCAGGCUGUAGAUGAAGGGGUUCAGCAUGGAGGUGAUCACCGUGUACAUCACUGAGGCCACUGCAGCCUUUCUCGGGGAAGAUGACACAUCUGAACUGAGGUACCCUCCAAAGCCUGUUCCGUAAAAUCAGCAAACAACUGACAGGAUAACUUCAGGAAGUGGGUAUUAAUUCUCACGGUAUAAGUGAAGACAUUAAGCACCAGAGUUUAAGUAGCUUGAUCCACUGAAAGAGAUUCAACUGUGUGGAACCUAUGCCGUGGAGAAUUGCUUUCUGCCAUUGUUAUCGUCCAGCAGUUGCCGAAUAGCUCUGACCUGAGCAAAGCAGUGAAACGCGGUGCUGUUGAGUGGGUUGCCACUGCACCUUUUUCAACUACUCUAGUCUUGUGGAGAAAAUACCCCUUCUAAAUUUUUUCUUCAUUGAAUACUCUCCCUCAGCUCCAGAGUACCAUAUAGAGUUUUCUUGUAUUUUAGAGUUACUGUUUUAUCAAAGUUUACCAGUCUUUUGUAUUACAUUUCUCCUGUCUAAAUCGACUGUGUGGUUUCUACUCAUUAUGGAUAUAGAUUGAUACAAACUCAAUAAAUAUUUUUGAAUGAAU